rnacentral:rRNA from 1 species
AUUGAACGCUGGCGGCAGGCCUAACACAUGCAAGUCGAACGAGUGGCGGACGGGUGAGUCAUGUCUGUGACAUUGCCUGAUGGAGGGGGAUAACUACUGAAACCGGUAGCUAAUCCCGCAUACCAUCACUUUUGCCCGGAUGUGAUUAGCUAGUGGGUGGGGUAACGGCUCAAACAGGCGACGAUCCCUAGCGGGUCUCAGAGGAUGACCCGCCACACUGGAACUGAGAAACGGUCCAGCUUCCUACGGGAGGCAGCAGUGGGGAAUAUUGCACAAUGGGGGAAAGCCGGAUGCAGCCAUGCCGCGUGUAUGAAGAAGGCCUUCGGGUUGUAAAGUACUUUCAGCGGGGAGGCGGUACCCGCAGAAGAAGCACCGGCUAACUCCGUGCCAGCAGCCGCGGUAAUUC